AUUGAACGCUGGCGGCAGGCCUAACACAUGCAAGUCGAACGAGUGGCGGACGGGUGAGUAAUGUCUGGGAAACUGCCUGAUGGAGGUGGAUCACUACUGGAAACGGUAGCUAAUACCGCAUCCCAUCGGAUGUGCCCAUAUGGGAUUAGCUAGUAGGUGGGGUAAAGGCUCACCUAGUCGACGAUCCCUAGCUGGUCUGAGAGGAUGACCAGCCACACUGGAACUGAGACACGGUCCAGACUCCGACGGGAGGCAGCAGGGGGGAAUAUUGCACAAUGGGAGCAAGCCUGAGGCAGCCAUGCCGCGUGUAUGAAGAAGGCCUUCGGGUUGUAAAGUACUUGCAGCGGGGAGGCGUUACCCGCAGAAGAAGCACCGGCUAACUCCGGGCCAGCAGCCGCGGUAAUUC
rnacentral:rRNA from 1 species